UUGUUGAAGUGCUCCCCUUGAAUUGGUCGCGCGUGGUGGCGCGCUCGUGUGGUCCCAGUUACUCGGGAGGCUGGGGUAGGAGCAUCGCUUGAACCCAGGAGGAGGGAGGUGCAGUGAGACGAGAUCGCGCCACUGCACUCCAGCCUGGGCGACAGAGCGAAACUCCAUCUCAAAAAAAAAAAAAAAAAAAAUCCUUAGGGACCGCCCAGAGGCUGGUGACACCUGCACUGGUACCUCCAUGGCCGCGCCUCUGAGGUCACCGCUCCAGAAGGUCCCAGGCCGGCGUGGAAACCUAUUACUAAGUGGGGCGGGUGGACACCAGCAGGUCCCGCCCUAAAGGAGUCCCGCGGACGCUUGGGCCUCAGUUCCUCUUUCCUGCCCAAGUAUCUCCCCAGCUCUGACGAAACAGGCAACUUCCAGACUGUGGCGUUAGCUCAGCGACUGCAGUGAGCCGCCCGGAAGAUCCUGGUCCCGUCAGCCAGCUGACCCACAUGCGUUGCGGAGGCGCUGACCACCCCGCUUCGCUGGCUGCUGGGGGGUCACGUGAGGACCUCGGGGUCACGUGAGGUCCUCGGGCGCCGCAGGGAGGGCGGCAUCCAAGUCUUUCUGCGCGUGCGCGAGCGUCCGCGGUCACUUAGGUAGAACAGUCUCAAAUCGCACCGGCCGGGACCAGGCAGCCAAGAGACGCGGAGACAGACUACUGGGACUGCGACGUCUCCUCUCCUGUUCGCUGCGAUAUGCCGGCGUCGUGUUGAGCGGGCUGCGGACACAGACAGCCUGCCCGGCCCCACUGAGUGUUUGAUCCCCAUCCUCGCAGCUCUCUAGAGGACCAGAGUUGGCGGUGCAGCCCAGCGGAGCUUCGAAGCGACAUGUCCUCCAACAUUUUAGCCCAGCAAGUCUUGUGGCCCCUGAGGAUAUAACCCAGAGAGGGCUGCUUUCUGGGAUUUCUCGGCUGUGGUUCAAGUGGAGUCCACACAGUUGAGACCCUGUCUGCCCUGGGCAGCUUUCUUGACCCUUGGGGGACCAGCUCACAAUAAAUCCUAGGCUUCUGUUGCUCCUUGCUGCCUAUCCAUAAGCAAUAAACCUGCUUCAGCUCAUUCA